CCGCCAGCUUCGUUUUCAAACAAGUGACGACGACAGACGGUUCAACUUCGAGGAAGAGCUAACGUUUGCGCUUUCGCUAAUAUUUGGCUACAAACUCACACAUUUGAGUUUUAUUCGUAAAUUAUCGUUUUGAUAUAUGUUUUGAAGGCAAUUAUCUUGCCAUAUAUUCUUUACAUCGGCGUUAUCACCAGAACAAAGGUUUCAAGCUUCAGUCGACUCGCUUGUGUCCGAAAACAAAACAAUGGCUAAGGGAGAAGAAUCGCACUCUGAAAUGGCCCACGAUCGUCAGAGUGAUGGCAUCAAUGUGAUCUUUGACCAAAACAGCCCUGCCUCAUCUCGGUCCCGCUCACGAUCUAGAAGCAGUAGUGGCAGCAAACUCUCACCUGGCUCUGGCCGCUUUAGGGGACGUGGUAGCCACAGGAGACGCCACAAGUCCUCAUCCAGCAGCAGGUCCCCCACUCAUACGCGGUCACGCUCUCACACUCGUUGCCGUAGGCCUUCGUCCCACUGCCGCUGUGACAACCAUCGCAAAAAUGGCCGUGGCCGCCAAUCCCCACCACGGCGCUCCAGGGCCCACUCCAGGUCUUCCAGCCGUCGGAGCAGGAGGGCUGCGAGCCCGUCUUCCCAAUCCAUAACCCACAGAGGCGAUUCAAGAUCCGGAUCUUCAGAGAACUCUGUCAAUUUGAGUUUGGAUGACAAAGGAGAACUCCUCACAGCUGCAAAGGUCAUUGCUACUACAAUCCUAGAAGUGGAAAAGCUGGAGCUUCCUGAGAGUGUGAAACCAAUCCUAUUGGAGCAGUCGGAGUUCAAACGGGUGUCGCUAGAUACAUGGGUGAGACAAGACCCUGAAAAGACUCUGUCACAGCAGAAUCCUUCAUUCGCUGAUGGAGCAAAGGCGUGUGGACCGCAUUAUAGUGACUAUCCCUGUCGAGAACUAAAAACAGAUGAAGAACUCCUCUCCGUAUGCCAAAGAUAAGUUGGUUCACCAGCCGUGUGCUGAGGGCUGGGAAAGCUACGUCACCAUCAUUCUGCCACUGUAGACAGAGAAGACAUCCCUUUUUUUUUUUUUACAUUUUAUUUUAUUCUGUUUCAAGGUCUGUCUUUGUAGGAUUCAGUUAAUGGUCGAGCCAAGCUUUUGACAGCAGUAGGAUGGGGGGUUUUAAGUGUUGAAGCUAACACUUAAAUAAUUAAUAUGCAAUAGAAGUGCUUUACAAUAUUGCCAAUGGGAACUAUAACGUAUCUAUAUGACCAUAACAAACUGUCAAAGCUCACUCUACCAUCAGUUAUACACGCAUAUCUGACUUGGUCUGUUUUUCUUUUAUCUUUUUCAAACAGAGCGAUGAGGAGGAGCCUGACGAUAUGUUCAGCUCUAAGAUGUCCCCAAAAAGGAAAACGAUCUCUUUCAGCAUUAAUAAUUCUUUGUUCAAACCAUCCCUGGCAUCUCAAUCGAGUGCUAAGGUAACUUCCAGGGUGGACAGCUUUGACA